AGGCAGCCCCCUUUUCUUAAUAUUAUAAUGAAAAGGGCGGUGUUAAUCUGCUCGGAAAUCAAUCAAUCUUUUGCUCUUCAGAUUUGCUGAGAUUGCUCAUCUUUGAAGCUGGUCUAGUAAGCUCAAGUACAUU